UCAAACUUGGUCAUUUAGAGGAAGUAAAAGUCGUAACAAGGUAACCGUAGGUGAACCUGCGGUUGGAUCAUUACAAAAUACUUUGCCUUCCCCGCCGCCAAGCCCUCGGGCCGGCGCGGGGCAAGACAAUCCACCUUGUGAACACAUCUGGUCGGGGGGGAGGCAUUCGUGACCUCCCUCGCGACGUUAAACAACCAACCACUGUCGUAUAUAUCUAUCUGACACCAAAAGAGAAACAAUGAGAAACAACUUUAGACAACGGAUCUCUUGGCUCUCGCAUCGAUGAAGAACGCAGC
rnacentral:misc_RNA from 1 species